AUUGAACGCUGGCGGCAGGCUUAACACAUGCAAGUCGAGCGUGAAAGGGUUUCGGCCUGAGUAAAGCGGCGGACGGGUGAGUAAUACGCAGGAAUCUACCUGGUAGUGGGGGAUAACGUCUCGAAAGGGGCGCUAAUACCGCAUACGUUCUGAGGAAGAAAGCAGGGGACCGCAAGGCCUUGUGCUAUCAGAUGAGCCUGCGUCCGAUUAGCUAGUUGGUGGGGUAAAAGCCUACCAAGGCGACGAUCGGUAACUGGUCUGAGAGGAUGAUCAGUCACACUGGAACUGAGACACGGUCCAGACUCCUACGGGAGGCAGCAGUGGGGAAUAUUGGGCAAUGGGCGAAAGCCUGACCCAGCAACGCCGCGUGAUUGAAGAAGGUCCUCGGAUUGUAAAGAUCUGUCCUAUGGGACGAAAAAAUGAACGGUACCAUAGGAGGAAGCCCCGGCUAACUACGUG
rnacentral:rRNA from 1 species